AUUAGGCAAGACAACACUUGCUAAGGUGGUGUAUGACAAACUUAAAGGGCAAUUUGAAUACACGGCCUUCGUCUCUGUGUCUGAAAAUCCUAAUAUAGAGAGGAUUUUCAUUAACAUGCUCUGCCAACUAUUCAGUGAAGUAAGAGCCUUUUAACUAGGCUAUGACAAAAAUGUAGGAACCUGUGAUACACAACAACUUAUCAAUGAAGUAAGAGCCCUUCUUCACGACAAGAGGUAUCUGGUUGUUGUCGAUGAUUUAUGGAAAACUUCUGUGUGGAAGACGAUCCAAUAUGCUUUAGUUGACAAUGAAUGUGGAAGUAUAUCAUUUCAACAACUCACAAUCUUGAUAUUGCCAAUAAAAUCGGUGGUGUCUAUCAACUACAUCCUCUUUCUCUCGCUGACUCUAGAAUGUUAUUCAACCUUAGAAUAUUUGGUACUGAAGAUAAAAGUCUUUCAAAUAAAUUGGCUGAAGUAUCUACAGAGAUUUUACGAAAAUGUGGAGGUGUGCCUCUAGCUAUCAUAACGAUAGCCAGUACGCUGGCUUGUAAAAAGGGAAUGGAAAAUAUACAUCAAUACUGGUCCAAGGUGUGUAAAACACUGGGUUCUGGUCUGGAAGAUAGUCCUGAUGUAGAGGAUAUGAGAAGAAUACUCGCAAUUAGUUAUUAUGACCUGCCUCCACAUUUGAAAAAUUGCAUGUUGUAUUUAAGUUCAUAUCCAGAAGAUUAUGAGAUAAGCACGAAACAAUUAAUAUGGAAAUGGAUGGGUGAAGGGUUCAUCCUCAAAGAACAGGGGAAGUCCUUUUAUGAGGUAGGUGAGGAUUAUAUCGAUGAGCUAAUCAACAGAAGUAUGAUUCAACGACGUGUCAACCCUUUAAGCAAGGAGUCAUUUCUUCAAGUACAUGAUAUGGUACUUGAUCUCAUCACACGCUUGGCAAAUGAGGAUGGUUUCCUGGCAACAAUACAUGACCAACAGCCCAGGUGUCAACCAGGAAGGAUACAUUGAUUGUCCCUCAAAACCAGCAAUGAAGAGGAUGUCAAGCACUUAUCAGCUGCAAACUUGUGCCAUAUGAGGUCACUUAUUGCUGAUUUGUGUCGUCGUCAAGCAUUUCUUUGGUUGCCACCCCUUUCAACCUUUCCAUUCUUGCGUGUAAUGUGCUUAAGUGGCUGUAAGCAAGUGGACAAUAGGUGCUUCAAGGAAAUCUGCAAUUUGAUUCACCUUAGGUAUUUGAGUCUAAGAGAUGCAGGUAUCACUAAGAUUCCAAAAGAGAUCCAGAAGCUACAGCUUUUACAGGUGCUAGACAUAAGUUUUAAUCUAAUAGACAAGCUGCCAUCAAACUUUUUUCUACUAAGAAACUAGCAAGGUGGCCCGCGCUAAUAGCGCGGGUAGCUAGCUUAUUCCAUGAUAAUAUUUGGCAUCCUUUUAACUAAAAUUAAAUAUAUUUAAAUAAUUUUAUUUCAUUGUUAUUAUUUUGUCAAAAUAGCCCAGUUUAUGAUAUCACUUUUUUAUCAUCUUAUUUUAUUGCACAAAACAUGUACAUGAUAAAAGGGAAUAUCUAUGUAUAAACAUAGUUUAGAUGCAUAUGCCUUAUUUUGAUGGGACUUCUACAAACUCUUCUCUUGGUUGAUUUGUCCUUAUCCCGUUAUCCAUGUACCUCAAUUAGAACAAAUUAUGAAAUUAAGAGCAAAACAUUAAAAGCAGGGGUUAUGUUAUAUUCUUUCAAUCCUCCUUUGCUCGUUAGUGUCCCUUUUCUUAAUAUUGUAUUUGAUACUUUUUUGUUCCAUUUUUUUUUCUAAACAUGUAGUUAUUAUGAAUUAGAUUUGGUCAUUUGUUUACCUCUUUUUCUUCCUGAUACCUAUAAAAAUAGUCACACAAAAAAUAUAUAUGAAAAUAUAUUGAUUUGCAUAACUUGUUUAAAAAUCUCUAGGAGUUACUUUUAUGUAUUUGAUAUACAGUCUUAUUUGAUUACUUUUACUAUUGUAUGAAAAUUAGGAUGCUAAUUUCACUUAAUGCUAUUGUCUUAUUGGAUUCAUUAUGGAUCUUUAAUUUUAGUUGUUUCAUACUUUUUUAUUUUGUUUAUUGUUUCUGUGGUUUCACGAAAAGCAUUUACUUAUAAAAUUAUUUCAUUGACAUGUACCAAUGCCUCGUGCACCCUCCCAUAGCUUGGAAGCCUCUCUACCUUCUGCAAGCUCAUUCACCGAUUCUAUUUAGCUUCUUGCAUUUGCUCCACUGGUCUUUCUCUAGACUGGCUCUAGAAAUUAGGACACAACAGAUCUCUUUGACUCCCCUCAUUGCACCUUCACGAUUCUACGAAUACUAAUUCACUCUGCACUUAUAUACUACGCACUUAAGGUAAUCGUCAUAGGUGUGUCAUCCUGAUCGAGAUGCUUUUAGCCUUGUAUCAUAAAAAAUUGAUUCGUUAUGAUAGGGAUCCACUAAGAUGAAUGAUGGAGAUAUUUUAUGAUUUUUGACCUAUUAUUGUGGUAAUUUAUAAACCCAUAGUGUGUCUAUUGGAUUCAUUUAGCACUUAAUUAUUAAGGGGGUGCUUGGAUCUCAGCUGUUAUUUGGAUGCCAAAUAAGAGAGCUAAAUAUGGGCCAAUUGGUAAUCUAAUUGCCCAGAUAAUGCUUAGUUGGUUGUUAGAGCCCGUGAGUCCUGAUUAGAGCUAAACUCUAUAUUUAGCUCAUUAUGGCACCUAGGGAUAAAUUUUAGUGCCCCUAUUUUAGCCAAUCCAGACACCGCUAAAUUAUUUUUUUUUCAUUUCAAGGCUACACCACAUGUCAUGUUGCUUUUUUGAAUAACUUAAGGUAAACCUACUAACAAGUCUAUAUAACAUAACAAAAUUGAUUGUUUUUCUUUACUUCUUUUUAAUCUAAACUUUUUUUUAUACUUAUAACUCUCUAGUGUUGAUGGAAUUAAUUCACCAAAUAAAUAAUAAAAAUUGUUGAUCUUUCAUUUUCCUCAUUAAUUAACAUGCAGAUUUCUAACUCCCGGACGACAUCAAAUGAAUGUGGCGGUUAAAGAAGCUCUCUUCUUCAUGUCGAUGUUGAUUUCUAACUCCUGAUAUCGGAUGGAUGUGGUAUGUGGUGGCUUUUAGAUCUAAAGUAUUGCUUUUUGGGCCACCUGCUUUGGAGCCAUUCUCCUUUGUAGACGGUUAGAGAAAUGCUUUUCUCCGUGUUGAUGGUGCGAACAACAAUGCUGCUCAAAUUUGAUGUCUUAGUUUGAGGUGGCUGGCGAGGUGAGAGAUGGCAUGGAAACAAACAUUUAAGACACGAUGAUGCAUGGCA